AGAUAUUUAUAUUAUUAAUAGGAAAGUCAUAAAUAUAUAAAUUAUAUUAUAUAAUUAAUAUAAUAAUAAAAUAAAUUAUAUAUUUUAUUUAUAAUAUUAUUUCUUUAUAAGAUAAAUAUUAUCUAAUUAAUAAUUAGAUUGAAUAAUAUUUAUAAAGAAAUAUAUAUAUAUAUAUAAAGUCAUUAUAUAAAUUUAAUUAUAAUUUAAAUAAAUUUUAUAUAAAUUAAUAUAAUAUUAAUAAAGUAAUUAGUAUAAAUAAAUAAUAUGAAAAUAAAACUUAAUAAAUAUAUAAAUAUAGUCCAUAUAUAUAUAUUAAUAAAAAGUAAUAUAUAUAUAUAUAUUGGAAUAGUUAUAUUAUUAUACAGAAAUAUGCUUAAUUAUAAUAUAAUAUCCA
rnacentral:RNase_MRP_RNA from 3 species